rnacentral:rRNA from 1 species
GAUGAACGCUGGCGGCGUGCCUAAUACAUGCAAGUCGAGCGAACAGAUGAGGAGCUUGCUCCUCUGACGUUAGCGGCGGACGGGUGAGUAACACGUGGAUAACCUACCUAUAAGACUGGGAUAACUUCGGGAAACCGGAGCUAAUACCGGAUAAUAUAUUGAACCGCAUGGUUCAAUGGUGAAAGACGGUUUUGCUGUCACUUAUAGAUGGAUCCGCGCCGCAUUAGCUAGUUGGUAAGGUAACGGCUUACCAAGGCAACGAUGCGUAGCCGACCUGAGAGGGUGAUCGGCCACACUGGAACUGAGACACGGUCCAGACUCCUACGGGAGGCAGCAGUAGGGAAUCUUCCGCAAUGGGCGAAAGCUUGACGGAGCAACGCCGCGUGAGUGAUGAAGGUCUUCGGAUCGUAAAACUCUGUUAUUAGGGAAGAACAAAUGUGUAAGUAACUAUGCACGUCUUGACGGUACCUAAUCAGAAAGCCACGGCUAACUACGUG